rnacentral:rRNA from 1 species
UUCGUCCAAGUGAAGCAGAGGACAGUGGCGGACGGGUGAGUAACGCGUGAGGAACCUGCCUUUCAGAGGGGGACAACAGUUGGAAACGACUGCUAAUACCGCAUGACGCAUAGAGGUCGCAUGAUCUUUAUGCCAAAGAUUUAUCGCUUCAAGAUGGCCUCGCGUCCGAUUAGCUAGUUGGUGGGGUAACGGCCUACCAAGACGACGAUCAGUAGCCGGACUGAGAGGUUGAACGGCCACAUUGGGACUGAGAUACGGCCCAGACUCC